CCCUUAGAUGUUCUGGGAUGCACGCGCGUUACACUGAUUCGUUCAACGAGUUUAUGACCUUGCCUGAUGAGGUGGGGGAAUCUUUUCAAAUCGCAUCGUGAUGGGGAUAGAGUAUUGUAACUGUUAGUCUUCAACGAGGAAUUCCUAGUAAGUACGUGUCAUCAGCUCGUACUGAUUAUGUCCCUGCCCUUUGUACACACCGCCCGUCGCUCCUACCGAUUGAGUGCUCAGGUGAAUAGUAUGGACUGCAUCAGUGUUCGGUCUCCGAGUGUUGACGCGAGAAAUUCUGUGAAUCUUAUUGCUUAGAGGAAGGAGAAGUCGUAACA
rnacentral:rRNA from 1 species